CCUACGGGUGGCAGCAGUGGGGGAUAUUGCACAAUGGGGGAAACCCUGAUGCAGCGACGCCGCGUGGGUGAAGAAGUAUCUCGGUAUGUAAAGCUCUAUCAGCAGGGAAGAAAGUAGACGGUACUUGACUAAGAAGCCCCGGCUAACUACGUGCCAGAAGCCGCGGUAAUAGGUAGGGGGCGAGCGUUACCCGGAUUCCCUGGGUUGAAAGGGAGCGGAGACGGCCGUGCAAGCCAGGAGUGAAAGCCCGGGGCUCAACCCCGGUACUGAUCUGGAAACUGUGCGGCUUGAGUGCGGGAGGGGCAGGCGGAAUUCCUGGUGUAGCGGUGAAAUGCGUAGAUAUCAGGAGGAACACCGGCGGCGAAGGCGGCCUGCUGGACCGUGACUGACGUUGAGGCUCGAAAGCGUGGGGAGCGAACAGGAUUAGAUACCCUUGUAGUC
rnacentral:rRNA from 1 species